AUUGAACGCUGGCGGCAGGCCUAACACAUGCAAGUCGAGCGCCGCGUCGGACGGGUGCGUAAUGCCUAGUAAUCUGCCUGGUAGUGGGGGACAACGUCCGGGAACGGGCGCUAAUACCGCAUACUAUAAGAUGAGUCUCGGUGGUAUUAGCUAGGUGGUGGGGUAAAGGCCUACCAAGGCGACGAUCCGUAACUGGUCUGAGAGGAUGAUCAGUCACACUGGAACGGAGACACGGGCCAGACUCCGACGGGAGGCAGCAGUGGGGAAUAUUGGGAAAUGGGCGAAAGCCUGAUCCAGCCAUGCCGCGUGUGUGAAGAAGGUCUUCGGAUGGGAAAGAACUGUAAGUUGGGAGGCGUUACCAAAACAAUAAGCACCGGCUAACUACGUGCCAGCCGCCGCGGUAAUUC
rnacentral:rRNA from 1 species